GUACCUCGUAGCCCUGCCAGCACGCAGACAACAGCAUUUCCGUCCAGUCUCAGCCGAUCAGUCGCCCGGGUGCUGUUAAUUUUCUUCCACGCUGUCACUACCAGGUGUUUCUAAACUAUGCAGUGGAGGUAUUGGAUGGCACUGUUAAUUCUAGUGGCCAUGUUACCGAUUAUGUACGCCAAUCCUAAAGUUGUUUUAGGAGGACUUGCUGGCAGAAAGACGCAAUGGUGCCGACGCGGACAAGGGCGAUGCAUCUAACGUCGCGGCACACAAACGGGUCCCAAAAACGAAUUUACAAGCGGGUCAGGGUGACUGACGUCAGAAUUAUUUCCUCCUCAGCAAGUGCUGUCAUCUGGACGCCGCAUCGUGAAUUUGAAGAGGACCAAAUCACUUUAUUUUCUAUUACGUGCUUUUAUAAUGCUCAUUACCCAUGCAAUAUGCAAAGUCUUAUGUUUUGUUCCAAAAUAUUGGUAUAGUUUGUAUUGAUAUUCUUGAAGAAACAUGAUUAGAACCAGAACAAUUAUAUCAUAUUAUUUCUUUUGCUUUAAAUGCCUCAAUGCUUAUGUGAAUUCCUUGUGUAAUUUUACUUUAAUAAACCCUAAUCAUCUGAAAUGUAUUACACACUUGAACUUAUGUAAUUACUAUAAGAUUCAACUAUCAAUUGUGUUAUCAAUAUUUAACAGUUUGAGAUCUUUAAUUUGUAACGAUAAUGGAUUUUUUUUCAAAGUCGUAACAAUUGAUUACGAAUUUACCUCAUCGAAAAAUUA